rnacentral:ncRNA from 1 species
UCCAGAUCUUUACAAGAAUCAUCCCCACAUUUGGAAGCCUUACAAAUGUAAAUUUCGGGAGUAAAUAUGACUCUCUUAAGGUAGCCAAAUGCCUCAUCACCUAAUUUGUGACAUGCAUGAAUGGA